GACGAACGCUGGCGGCGUGCUUAACACAUGCGAGUCGAACGAAGAGCGAUGGAAGCUUGCUUCUAUCAAUCUUAGUGGCGAACGGGUGAGUAACGCGUAAUCAACCUGCCCUUCAGAGGGGGACAACAGUUGGAAACGACUGCUAAUACCGCAUACGAUCUAAUCUCGGCAUCGAGGAUAGAUGAAAGGUGGCCUCUACAUGUAAGCUAUCACUGAAGGAGGGGAUUGCGUCUGAUUAGCUAGUUGGAGGGGUAACGGCCCACCAAGGCGAUGAUCAGUAGCCGGUCUGAGAGGAUGAACGGCCACAUUGGGACUGAGACACGGCCCAGACUCCUACGGGAGGCAGCAGUGGGGAAUCUUCCGCAAUGGACGAAAGUCUGACGGAGCAACGCCGCGUGAGUGAUGACGGCCUUCGGGUUGUAAAGCUCUGUUAAUCGGGACGAAAGGCCUUCUUGCGAAUAGUGAGAAGGAUUGACGGUACCGGAAUAGAAAGCCACGGCUAACUACGUG
rnacentral:rRNA from 1 species